rnacentral:rRNA from 1 species
CUCGUAGGCGGUUUGUCGCGUCUGCUGUGAAAACUCGGGGCUUAACCCCGGGCCUGCAGUGGGUACGGGCAGACUAGAGUGCGGUAGGGGAGACUGGAAUUCCUGGUGUAGCGGUGAAAUGCGCAGAUAUCAGGAGGAACACCGGUGGCGAAGGCGGGUCUCUGGGCCGUAACUGACGCCGAGGAGCGAAAGCGUGGGGAGCGAACA